rnacentral:rRNA from 1 species
AACGAACGCUGGCGGCAUGCCUAACACAUGCAAGUCGAACGAGACCUUCGGGUCUAGUGGCGCACGGGUGCGUAACGCGUGGGAACCUGCCCUUAGGUUCGGAAUAACUCCCCGAAAGGGGUGCUAAUACCGGAUAAUGUCUUCGGACCAAAGAUUUAUCGCCUUUGGAUGGGCCCGCGUUGGAUUAGCUAGUUGGUAGGGUAAAAGCCUACCAAGGCGACGAUCCAGAGCUGGUCGGAGAGGAUGAUCAGCCACACUGGGACUGAGACACGGCCCAGAAUCCUACGGAAGGCAGCAGUGGGGAAUAUAGGACAAUGGGCGAAAGCCUGAUCCAGCAAUGCCGCGUGAGUGAUGAAGGCCUUAGGGUUGUAAAGCUCUUUUACCCGGGAUGAUAAUGACAGUACCGGGAGAAUAAGCACCGGCUAACUCCGUG